UACGUAGGGUGCUAGCGUUGUCCGGAUUUAUUGGGCGUAAAGAGCGUGUAGGCGGCCAGAUAGGUCUGCUGUGAAAACUCGAGGCUCAACCUCGAGAUGUCGGCGGAAACCAUUUGGCUAGAGUCCGGAAGAGGAAAGUGGAAUUCCUGGUGUAGCGGUGAAAUGCGCAGAUAUCAGGAAGAACACCCGUGGCGAAGGCGGCUUUCUGGGACGGUACUGACGCUGAGACGCGAAAGCGUGGGGAGCGAACAGG
rnacentral:rRNA from 1 species